rnacentral:rRNA from 1 species
UACAGGGGGGGCAAGCGUUGUUCGGAAUUACUGGGCGUAAAGGGCUCGUAGGCGGCCAACUAAGUCCGACGUGAAAUCCCAAAGCUUAACUUUGGAACUGCGUCGGAUACUGGAUGGCUUGAAUUCGGGAGAGGGAUGCAGAAUUCCUGGUGUAGCGGUGGAAUGCGCAGAUAUCAGGAAGAACACCGGUGGCGAAGGCGGCUCUCUGGGCCUUACCUGACGCUGAGGAGCGAAAGCGUGGGUAGCGAACAGG